rnacentral:rRNA from 1 species
UUGGAGGGCAAGUCUGGUGCCAGCAGCCGCGGUAAUUCCAGCUCCAAUAGCGUAUAUUAAAGUUGUUGCAGUUAAAAAGCUCGUAGUUGAAUUUCGGGGUUAGUAGGUUGGUUAUGCCUCUGGUAUGUACUGGUCUCACUGAUUCCUCCUUCCUGAUGAUCCGUAAUGCCAUUUAUUUGGUGUUGCGGGGAAUUUGGACUGUUACUUUGAAAAAAUUAGAGUGUUUAAAGCAAGCUAACGCUUGAAUACAUUAGCAUGGAAUAAUGAAAUAGGACGUUCGAUCCUAUUUUGUUGGUUUCUAGGAUUGACGUAAUGAUUAAUAGGGAUAGUUGGGGGCAUUAGUAUUCAAUUGUCAGAGGUGAAAUUCUUGGAUUUAUUGAAGACUAACUACUGCGAAAGCAUUUGCCAAGGAUGUUUUCAUUAAUCAAGAACGAAAGUUAGGGGAUCGAAGACGAUCAGAUACCGUCGUAGUCUUAACCAUAAACUAUGCCGACUAGGGAUCGGAUGAUGUUAAUUUUUUAAUGACUCAUUCGGCGCCUUACGGGAAAC